AUUGAACGCUGGCGGCAUGCUUUACACAUGCAAGUCGAACGGUAACAGGCCGCAAGGUGCCGACGAGUGGCGAACGGGUGAGUAAUGCAUCGGAACGUGCCCAGUCGUGGGGGAUAACGCAGCGAAAGCUGCGCUAAUACCGCAUACGAUCUAUGGAUGAAAGCGGGGGACCGUAAGGCCUCGCGCGAUUGGAGCGGCCGAUGUCAGAUUAGGUAGUUGGUGGGGUAAAGGCUCACCAAGCCAACGAUCUGUAGCUGGUCUGAAAGGACGACCAGCCACACUGGGACUGAGACACGGCCCAGACUCCUACGGGAGGCAGCAGUGGGGAAUUUUGGACAAUGGGCGCAAGCCUGAUCCAGCAAUGCCGCGUGCAGGAAGAAGGCCUUCGGGUUGUAAACUGCUUUUGUACGGAACGAAAAGGCUCUGGUUAAUACCUGGGGCUCAUGACGGUACCGUAAGAAUAAGCACCGGCUAACUACGUGCCAGCAGCCGCAGUAACAC
rnacentral:rRNA from 1 species